rnacentral:rRNA from 1 species
CCAUUAGAUGUUCUGGGCUGCACGCGCGCUACACUGAUGCACUCAACGAGUUUACGACCUUGCCCGAUAGGGUUGGGUAAUCUUUUUAAAAUGCAUCGUGAUGGGGAUAGAUUAUUGCAAUUAUUAAUCUUCAACGAGGAAUUCCUAGUAAGCGCGAGUCAUCAGCUCGUGCUGAUUACGUCCCUGCCCUUUGUACACACCGCCCGUCGCUCCUACCGAUUGAGUGCUCAGGUGAAUAAUUCGGACUGCAGCAAUGUUUGGAUCCCGAACGUUGCAGCGGAAAGUUUAGUGAACCUUAUCACUUAGAGGAAGGAGAAGUCGUAACA